GACGAACGCUGGCGGCGUGCUUAACACAUGCAAGUCGAACGGAAAGGCCCUGCUUUUGUGGGGUGCUCGAGUGGCGAACGGGUGAGUAACACGUGAGUAACCUGCCCUUGACUUUGGGAUAACUUCAGGAAACUGGGGCUAAUACCGGCUAGGAGCUCCUGCUGCAUGGUGGGGGUUGGAAAGUUUCGGCGGUUGGGGAUGGACUCGCGGCUUAUCAGCUUGUUGGUGGGGUAGUGGCUUACCAAGGCUUUGACGGGUAGCCGGCCUGAGAGGGUGACCGGGCACAUUGGGACUGAGAUACGGCCCAGACUCCUACGGGAGGCAGCAGUGGGGAAUAUUGCACAAUGGGCGGAAGCCUGAUGCAGCAACGCCGCGUGCGGGAUGACGGCCUUCGGGUUGUAAACCGCUUUCGCCUGUGACGAAGCGUGAGUGACGGUAAUGGGUAAAGAAGCACCGGCUAACUACGUG
rnacentral:rRNA from 1 species